ensembl:lncRNA
GUAGGGAACUGGCUAACAGAGAAUGAGAAAGUAGAGGUUUGUGUGAAACCUGAAGAAUACCUAAAAUCACAUUGUGGGAAGUUAAGUACAUUUGCGUAGUAUUUCCUAUCCUGCUAAAGCCAAAUCAUGUUGCUUUAGAGCAAAUCUGAGCAAUUAGAGCCAGCCAGCUUUGCAUGAGAGCACACUCAGUUUUUCCAGAGAAAUUUUCAGAGUCACCAAAUCAUAAUUAGAUCAUGGGGUCCGUAAAGCCUCUCAGUGACCACUAAAUGCUAAACACAAAGGGCUGUAAUUGUUGUAGAGUAAGUCCCCAACAUAUAAAUAUUCGAGUUGUGAACUUUCACAGAUACUAACGGACCUUGCAUUACAAACAUCACGUGUCUGCCGGACAUUGUCACAGUUGCGUUGCUGUGUGCUUACUGCACAGUGCAAUAGUGUACAGUAGUACAGUACAGUCAGGGCCAUACUGUAUUUCUGCGUGCGUGUGUUUAUGCUUUACCUUAUAUAUUUGUGUCAAAGGUGUGUAAGAAUCACUUUGGCAGACUUAACGAAUGAAUCUGACUUAUGAGCGUUCUCCCUGAAAGGCAGUCUUUCAUAAGUCAGGGGCUUAUUUUCAGGACAUCCCUAAACUUUUAUUGUAAGAGCAGGGAGGACUACAGUGAUUGUUUUCAAUUCAUAUACUACUAAUUUUUCCUAUAAGAGUACAUUUAUUAUUUCUUUUUGCAGUUUACAAAGAAAUUUUCACAAAGAAAGUCAUGGUUCAAAAUGCUAUUCUAAAAGCUUACGUCUCCCACUUGCUCCAAAGAUUAGAGCAAAAAGCCAGUGCAUUCUACUUCUGACAUUUCACACUUACAGCCACCUAAUCAAAUGAAUUUGGCACCUGCAUUUGCAUGUGUAUAGGUAGUAGCGGUUACAUAUAACCCUCUUUGUCUAGCUCCAUUGUACAGACAUUUCUGCUAGCAUCCUUCUCAUAAGUUUUAAGUAUGAAUAGUAUUUUUAAUGCCCUUACAUAAAAUAUUGUAUCAGAUACCUCAUCUUACACACAUUCCUGAGGGAUGGCAAAGAGCAUUGGCUGUUCUUCUCAUGGCGUUACCUCCUGUGAUUAUCAAACAGUGAUGGUGUACGGGCCUCAGUUGCACCAUCUUUGGGGAAACUGAGCUACUGUGAGAAUAUGACUUGGCUAGAAUCAUGCCAACAGUAGUCAGAGGAGACACAAUUCAAAGUUGCUGUAGUUGGAAAACUCCACUUGUUUUUCAUGAAACCAUACAGCCUUUUGUUGGUUGCAGAGCUGCACAUGGUAGUCAUCAAAUGUUAGUUGUUAUCAUCAUCUUCAGGAUGAAAAGAAUGAUGGAUAUACAUUAAAAAAAUCAGAGAGAUGUGCUGAGCAACAAAUUAAUUCAUUAAAAUGCCUCAAUCUUCUUUAUGAGAAUCCUUGUAUUCAAAUAUGCAUAUUUAAAUAAAAUAAACUGUAUGAAUUAGCAACAAUUAAACAUUAUACUAUAUAGAAUUGGUAAAGAUAUGAUGACCUGGGCACUUUCAUGUCCUGCUUAAAGGAAUAUGAUUUUUGUAACUUUUGGGAAUAUAAUUUUUGUAACUUGGGAAAACAAUUUUUAAAUUUUAUCAAAAAAGUCCUAGAUUUUUUUGUCCAAAUAAUUCUAUUAUUUAAGAAAAUCUAUUAGGGGCUAGGGAUUUAGCUCAGUGGCACCAAGCCUGCCUGGCAAGCACAAGGUCCUGAGUCCUAUCUCUGGUACUGAAAAAAACCUAUUAUACGGAAAUAAUUAUGGAAAUAUAUAUGUGUGUGUUUACAUAUGUUUAAAUGUUAUUAUAACGUCAAAUUAGAAAUAUCCUAAAAUUCCAACAUUAAUGGAGCACUUAAAUUCCAACCACAUAUUAGAAAUUAAUGAAGACAUUUAAAAAUGAUUUUACUGCAUGGGAAAUUCUCACAGUAUUAUAUUUGACACAUAAAACACAAAAAACAACACUAUAGAAAAUAUAACCACAAAUUUCAGUAAGAACAUAUAGAAUAGAUAUAUGCCUAGGAAAACAUUGAUAAAAAUGUAAGAAAAUAACAAUAGAACAAUGUUAUCUCCAAAUUGUGUAACAAUAGGUUAUUUUUACUUUCAUCUUUACACUGUCCUGCAUUUUUAAUUAUCUGCAUGUAUUUUUAUAUAUGUCUAAAUACACACACAUAUCAUCUAUAUACAUAGAGAGAGAUCAUAUAUUUAUCAUCUAUUUCAAAGAAUAGUAUCCAUCAGGAGGUGCUUCAUAGAAAGGGAGUUAUUUCCUGUAUAAGUGUCAAUUUCUAAUUUACCUUAAGGAUGAAGUUUCUUAGAAUUAUACAAACCAACUUCAUUUUCUAAUUCUGUAAGUCCUUAAACAUCUCCGUAUCAAAGCUUUGCUAAGCCUUCAACAUGAUCUCAAUUUUAUUAAACUAUCAGUUUUUUCAGACAAAUUAUGUAUUGUCUUAUAAUUUGGACAACGUUUUAUUUGGGUUUUGAUCCCAGGAUCCACCUAUCCUAGUUGUGUGACCAAGAACAAGUUUCAAAUCUCUUAAGGCUCACUUUUUAUAAUCUUUAGCAUGGAAUGAAUAUGAAGGCCUACCUCAUACCAUUGUUGUUUAGUUUGACUUUUAAAAGAGAUGAUAUUUAAAAAGCAUCUACAAAGAAUAUGACAAAUAGUAUAACCCAUUGUUGUUUUAUAUUCCUUAUUAUGCUAGGCAUGUAGGAUCUAAAAAUGAUUUUUAAAGGAUGAUAAUGUAGAAUUGAAGUCUAAAUUGCAGUCAUAUCAGGAUGUUAUGAAUGAGUUUAAGAUUGUAAGGAACACCAAGAUUGAAAAGAGAUCGAAAGAGAACCAGAAAAGUAAAACUUGCCCUUAUUCUGAUUUGGCUUUAAUCCACAGGGAUAGGAAUGGGGUGGAUGGGAACAUGGAUAAUUUUCACUGAGAUACAGCAAGUGUUUCCUUCACUUGCAUGGAACACUGUGAAGAGUCUAAAUGUUAAAACAAUAUGUUUUAUUCUCUGUUUCAGUAUCCGCACAGUUCUGUCAUUUUGAGAUGAACCAGAUGCCUUCUCUUACAUCGAUCCUCUGACUCCUCCAUGCCAGAUUAUCUGAAUCACCAGGAAGACAACCUUAUUAACUAUUCUUCAGCAAUGUGAAGAAACCAAGACACAGGAUCAGGUACCCCAGCCAGUGUAUGACUGAAUCAAGUAUACCUAAAAUGUAUCAAUAAACUUAAUGAAUAAAAAUAGAUUAGAGGGCUGGGGAUUUAGCUCAGUGGUUUUGCUCCCUGCUGUGCAAGUGCCAGGACGCGAGUUUGAUCCCUGGUACCAAAUAAAUAAAUAAAUAAAUAAAUAAAAGUUUAGAAAUCAGGCCAGGUGUGCAGGUGCAUGCCAAUUAUCCUCAUAUUCUGAAGCUAUGGCAGGGUGAUUGUGACUUGAGCCCAUGCUGGGCAACUUAGCAUCUUAGACAGAUGCUGCACCAAAAUUUAAAACAAGAAAAAGGGCUGGGAGUGUACCACAGUGCAAAGACCAUUUGUCCCCUGCCUAGUAUAAAAUCAAGCAAUCAAUCUAGAAAUCUCAGUAUGAGAAUAGUCUAGCUCCAAAGUGUUCACAUUCUUCUGUUUACUACCCUAACUUCUAAGGUUUAUAGGAAACAAAGGAAGAACAAAGAAGAAAGAAAUAUUUUAAAACAAUUUUAAAUUCUUGUGAAUACAUCAAAACAACUGGAAAAUUCCCUCCUGUGUGUAUGGGAAAAAAAUGAAUGAAGCUGUUCACUUCCUUUUUGUUGACUACAAAGGAAGAUUGAUUUGAACAUAUUAAAGUUUAUGUGCUAUAUCCAAUGGGUCUGGGGUCUAGGGGUGCCCAGACUCACCCUUGCCCAGUUCAUCUCUCUCUCCAACAUAGAAAGAUGAAGAGGAGUCAGAGAAGACCAGACUGGCAAAGGAAGAGUG